GAUGAACGCUAGCGGCAGGCUUAACACAUGCAAGUCGAGGGGCAGCAUACCCGGUGACGGGUGAUGGCGACCGGCGUAAGGGUGAGUAACGCGUGAGCAACAUACCCGUAUCAGUGGGAUAAUACAGGGAAACUUGUUCUAAUAUCACAUAAUAUUAUACGGAGGCAUCUUUGUAUAAUUAAAGUUCAGGCGGAUACGGAAUGGCUCGCGUGACAUUAGCUAGAUGGUAGGGUAAAGGCCUACCAUGGCUAUGAUGUCUAGGGGUUCUGAGAGGGAGGUCCCCCACACUGGAACUGAGACACGGUCCAGACUCCUACGGGAGGCAGCAGUGAGGAAUAUUGGACAAUGGAUGAAAAUCUGAUCCAGCCAUGCCGCGUGCAGGAAGGCGGCCCUAUGGGUUGUAAACUGCUUUUGUACGGGUAGCAAUAAGGUCUACGAGUAGAUUGAUGAGAGUACUGUACGAAUAAGCAUCGGCUAACU
rnacentral:rRNA from 1 species